AUGAGCUCACUACAAGAUCUCAAAGAUUCCAAGCCACUGGCUGCUCCCAAGCAUAAAGCCACCCUUCUGGAGAGGCGGCAGGAAGGAAGCCUGGAGGAGGCUCCACUUUUGGCCAGAGGACAGACCACCUUCUCAGGUCUCUGGGGGAACUGCUGAAGGACAGUGAGGGAGAUGUUCCUGGUCCCCAGGACAGAAACACAGCAGCUGGAACCAAGAAGCACCUGGAGUGGGACUCAAGCCAAGCACCCCUUCAGACUGAAGCUCUUUGAGCUGCAUGUGGUUCCUGAUUGGACUGUUUUUGCUUUGCCGCCACCUGCAUAACACUGUUCUGGAUGCUUUUGAAUUAUUGGCUUUCUUUCCCCUCCCCCC